UAGGAUGUAGUGUAAUUGGUAGCAUUGAGAUUUUUGAAUUCUCAAGUUUAGGUUCGAUUCCUAUAGUUCUAU
rnacentral:tRNA from 1 species